GAAUGAAUAGCUCUCUCCUGUCAAAUCAGGCUUACAAACAGCUUGGCAUACAAACAGUUACUGCUUGCAUGCAUGAGGAUUUAGGGUCCCCGUCUGCUAAUGCCCCAGAUUUGCUUGAUAACGUUGUCGUCGGAAGCAAGUCCAGGAUGUGAGAUGGGAAGGAGAGUAGAUGGACUCAUGAUGAAAGGACAGAAAUCAACUGCCAUCUUUUCCUGUUCUCCCAUUGCAGUGGCAGUGAUCACAGAGGAGAGAUGCCUAUGUUCACCUCUUCCACCUGGAUGGAUGCUGAGCUCUUAGAAAUUGACUUUCCAGGGGAUACAGAGGCUCAUGCCUAUAGUCCCAGAACUUUGGGAGGCCGAGGUGGAAGGAUGGCUAGAGGCCAGGAGUUUGAAGCUGCAGUGAGCUUGAGACCAGCUUGAGACUAGACCCUGUCUCUAUAAAAAAUGUUUAAUAAAAACUUAGCUGGG